rnacentral:rRNA from 1 species
UACGUAGGGUGCAAGCGUUAAUCGGAAUUACUGGGCGUAAAGCGUGCGCAGGCGGUUUUGUAAGUUUGUCGUGAAAUCCCCGGGCUCAACCUGGGAAUGGCGAUGAAGACUGCAAGGCUAGAAUCUGGCAGAGGGGGGUAGAAUUCCACGUGUGAGCAGUGAAAUGCGUAGAGAUGUGGAGGAACACCGAUGGCGAAGGCAGCCCCCUGGGUCAAGAUUGACGCUCAUGCACGAAAGCGUGGGGAGCAAACGAGGAUUAGAAACCGGGUAA